rnacentral:rRNA from 1 species
UACGUAGGCAGCGAGCGUUGUUCGGAAUUACUGGGCGUAAAGAGUGUGUAGGCGGUGCUCUAAGUUCGGUGUGAAAUCUCCUGGCUCAACUGGGAGGGUGCGCCGGAAACUGGAGUGCUUGAGCGUGGGAGAGGAAAGCGGAAUUCCUGGUGUAGCGGUGAAAUGCGUAGAUAUCAGGAGGAACACCUGUGGUGUAGACGGCUUUCUGGACCAUAGCUGACGCUGAGACGCGAAAGCGUGGGUAGCAAACAGG